CCUACGGGAGGCAGCAGUGAGGAAUAUUGGUCAAUGGCCGGAAGGCUGAACCAGCCAUGCCGCGUGAAGGUCAGUGCCCUAUGGGCGUUAAACUUUUUUUGUGCGGGAGCAAUAAUGGUCACGUGUGGCCAGACGAGAGUACCGUACGAAUAAGCAUCGGCUAACUCCGUGCCAGCAGCCGCGGUAAUACGGGGGGUGCCAGCGUUAUCCGGAUUUAUUGGGUUUAAAGGGUUCGUAGGCGGCCUUUUAAGUCAUCGGUGAAAGUCUGUGGCUCAACCAUAGUAUUGCCGUUGACACUGGGUGGCGUGAGUAUGUUUGAGGCAGGCGGAAUGCGUGGUGUAGCGGUGAAAUGCUUAGAUAUCACGAAGAACCCCGAUUGCGAAGGC
rnacentral:rRNA from 1 species